AGUGAACGCUGGCGGUAGGCCUAACACAUGCAAGUCGAACGGCAGCACAGUAAGAGCUUGCUCUUACGGGUGGCGAGUGGCGGACGGGUGAGGAAUACAUCGGAAUCUACUUUUUCGUGGGGGAUAACGUAGGGAAACUUACGCUAAUACCGCAUACGACCUACGGGUGAAAGCAGGGGGUCUUCGCACCUUGCGCGAUUGAAUUAGCCGAUGUCGGAUUAGCUAGUUGGCGGGGUAAAGGCCCACCAAGGCGACGAUCCGUAGCUGGUCUGAGAGGAUGAUCAGCCACACUGGAACUGAGACACGGUCCAGACUCCUACGGGAGGCAGCAGUGGGGAAUAUUGGACAAUGGGCGCAAGCCUCAUCCAGCAAUACCGCGUGGGUGAAGAAGGCCUUCGGGUUGUAAAGCCCUUUUGUUGGGAAAGAAAAGCAGCAGGUUAAUACCCCGCUGUUCUGACGGUACCCAAAGAAUAAGCACCGGCUAACUUCGUG
rnacentral:rRNA from 1 species